UAGGUACGCCGAUAUCCGCGUUUUACGGAACCGAUAAAUGUGCUAAAAUUCUGUGCCACGUUUUUUGAACUUCGCAUUUAGAGAGAUAAAAUGAGUGAAGAGAUAAAUUAUGCACAAGCUAUUGAAAGCUUAUAUGAAAAAUUAAACACUAUGGAGAAUACAAUAAACAAAUUAGUUAACGCUUUGAAACCUUCAUCAAGUUCCUCAAGUAAGUUUUUCAUGGUAAAAUGCUAGUUCAGUGGUCUAUGCAGGCAGCACGUAGAAAACAAAUAAAAACUCGACUACAACAUUCUGAAAUUAGAGCUGAGAUUUCUAAAAGACAGACUAUAAAACGCCAAAAAAUCGAUGAAAAAGAAAAAAGAAAGUUAGAGCAACAAUUAACAUUAUUAACUAUUAGUGAAAUUCUGAAUUUAUUUAAAAACUUAUCUACUAAGCAAAUUGAUGAUUUAAAUGAUGUUAUGUGUGAAAGAAUUGUUGGGAGAAAUUUUUGCCAUGAAUGGUAUGAUUCCGAUAUGCAUAUUCUUGUAUAUUGGCAGAGUAGAAAAACUUAAGAAAGCACAGAAAGGCAUUAUAUACACUAUUUCUUAUUGGACUAGAGAAGAAAAUGAUACUGAAGCAGUUGAUUAUUAUAUGAAAAAAUUCCAGCUAGUUGCUGACAUUGUAUCCGGUGAGUUGAUGUUUUCCUAAUGUAAA
rnacentral:lncRNA from 1 species